rnacentral:misc_RNA from 1 species
ACACAAUACUGUUUGAAAACAGUAUUAUUUUGCUGUGAUCUUCUGUAAGGUCGACGUACUACCCCAGUCGGGCUGCUCCAUAUUUUGAGCAGGAAAUUCCUGCUGUGCCCUACCUCAGUUAAACUUGUAAAAGAUUCUCACAGAACAUUAGACAUUUUCCAAAAAUGUUACAAUUAUUGCAACUUCCCGCGUUUAACAGUUCGUAGGAGAGGACAACGCCUGUCGCUUCAGCUAGUCUAAUUAUAUUCGUUUAUUGACAGGACCAAAAAAUUUCUAAUUAUCAC